AAGUCGAACGGAAAGGCCCUGCUUUUGGGGGGUGCUCGAGUGGCGAACGGGUGAGUAACACGUGAGUAACCUGCCCUUGACUUUGGGAUAACUUCAGGAAACUGGGGCUAAUACCGGAUAGGAGCUCCUGCUGCAUGGUGGGGGUUGGAAAGUUUCGGCGGUUGGGGAUGGACUCGCGGCUUAUCAGCUUGUUGGUGGGGUAGUGGCUUACCAAGGCUUUGACGGGUAGCCGGCCUGAGAGGGUGAUCGGCCACAUUGGGACUGAGAUACGGCCCAGACUCCUACGGGGGGCAGCAGUGGGGAAUAUUGCACAAUGGGCGGAAGCCUGAUGCAGCAACGCCGCGUGCGGGAUGACGGCCUUCGGGUUGUAAACCGCUUUCGCCUGUGACGAAGCGUGAGUGACGGUAAUGGGUAAAGAAGCACCGGCUAACUACGUGCCAGCAGCCGCGGUGAUACGUAGGGUGCGAGCGUUGUCCGGAUUUAUUGGGCGUAAAGGGCUCGUAGGUGGUUGAUCGCGUCGGAAGUGUAAUCUUGGGGCUUAACCCUGAGCGUGCUUUCGAUACGGGUUGACUUGAGGAAGGUAGGGGAGAAUGGAAUUCCUGGUGGAGCGGUGGAAUGCGCAGAUAUCAGGAGGAACACCAGUGGCGAAGGCGGUUCUCUGGGCCUUUCCUGACGCUGAGGAGCGAAAGCGUGGGGAGCGAACAGGCUUAGAUACCCUGGUAGUCCACGCUGUAAACGGUGGGUACUAGGUGUGGGGUCCAUUCCACGGGUUCCGUGCCGUAGCUAACGCUUUAAGUACCCCGCCUGGGGAGUACGGCCGCAAGGCUAAAACUCAAAGGAAUUGACGGGGCCCCGCACAAGCGGCGGAGCAUGCGGAUUAAUUCGAUGCAACGCGUAGAACCUUACCUGGGUUUGACAUGGAUCGGGAGUGCUCAGAGAUGGGUGUGCCUCUUUUGGGGUCGGUUCACAGGUGGUGCAUGGCUGUCGUCAGCUCGUGUCGUGAGAUGUUGGGUUAAGUCCCGCAACGAGCGCAACCCUUGUUCACUGUUGCCAGCACGUUAUGGUGGGGACUCAGUGGAGACCGCCGGGGUCAACUCGGAGGAAGGUGGGGAUGACGUCAAGUCAUCAUGCCCCUUAUGUCCAGGGCUUCACGCAUGCUACAAUGGCUGGUACAGAGAGUGGCGAGCCUGUGAGGGUGAGCGAAUCUCGGAAAGCCGGUCUCAGUUCGGAUUGGGGUCUGCAACUCGACCUCAUGAAGUCGGAGUCGCUAGUAAUCGCAGAUCAGCAACGCUGCGGUGAAUACGUUCCCGGGGCUUGUACACACCGCCCGUCAAGUCAUGAAAGUUGGUAACACCCGAAGCCGGUGGCCUAACCGUUGUGGGGGAGCCGUCGAAGGUGGGACUGGUGAUUAGG
rnacentral:rRNA from 1 species